GAGUUUGAUCAUGGCUCAGGAUGAACGCUGGCGGCGUGCUUAACACAUGCAAGUCGAACGAUGAAGCCCAGCUUGCUGGGUGGAUUAGUGGCGAACGGGUGAGUAACACGUGAGUAACCUGCCCUCGACUCUAGGAUAAGCCCGGGAAACUGGGUCUAAUACUGGAUAGGAACGUCUACCGCAUGGUGGAUGUUGGAAAGAAUUUCGGUCAUGGAUGGACUCGCGGCCUAUCAGCUUGUUGGUGAGGUAAUGGCUCACCAAGGCGACGACGGGUAGCCGGCCUGAGAGGGUGACCGGCCACACUGGGACUGAGACACGGCCCAGACUCCUACGGGAGGCAGCAGUGGGGAAUAUUGCACAAUGGGCGAAAGCCUGAUGCAGCGACGCCGCGUGAGGGAUGACGGCCUCGGUUGUAACGUACUUCUACGUAGGAAGAAGACGAAGUAGACGGUACCGU
rnacentral:rRNA from 1 species